rnacentral:rRNA from 1 species
GACGAACGCUGGCGGCGUGCUUAACACAUGCAAGUCGAACGGUAAGGCCCUUCGGGGUACACGAGUGGCGAACGGGUGAGUAACACGUGGGUGAUCUGCGCUGCACUUUGGGAUAAGCCUGGGAAACUGGGUCUAAUACCGAAUAGGACCAUGGACUUCACGGUUUGUGGUGGAAAGCUUUUGCGGUGUGGGAUGGGCCCGCGGCCUAUCAGCUUGUUGGUGGGGUAAUGGCCUACCAAGGCGACGACGGGUAGCCGGCCUGAGAGGGUGACCGGCCACACUGGGACUGAGAUACGGCCCAGACUCCUACGGGAGGCAGCAGUGGGGAAUAUUGCACAAUGGGCGCAAGCCUGAUGCAGCGACGCCGCGUGAGGGAUGACGG